rnacentral:misc_RNA from 1 species
AAAAAAAAAAAAAAAAAUUCAAUAUCAGACUUCCUUCCAAGUUUCUCAUAAUGACCCCUUAGCUUUACAGACAACAACAAGGGUACCCAUUUGUCCUUACCACAUCACGUCCGGCUAAGGAUCAAAAACUAACCUACCUGCCUAGCUCCUUUGAAUUUUUUUUUUAAUAAACCAUGUUCUCUUUUCUUUACAACAAAAUAAAAACAGAGCCCCUAUUCAAUUUCUUUUAUUUGUAUUGAUUUCAAUUUCAUAAAACAACAUAUUUCCCGCUUUUUUUUCUCUUCUGGGACUAAGAAAUAGAGCUUGAAAAUGCUAAUUAAUUCCUUUCUCUUCAUGGGAAAUUCUUGGUGAAGCCAUAGAUUUCUCAUGCAAAGGAUCACUUGCAAAUCGUGAGAAGAGAGAAGAAUCUAUAGAACUAGAAGAGUUGAAAGAUUUCUUGCAAUGCAGGAUGGCGCUUUGGAUACCGUCAUGCUGCAGAAGCAGCGAAUCAUCUCUCCUAGUAGCCGUUGACGGCCGAACUAUGGUCGCCGCCGAAGCAGAUUUGCUUUUUCCCAGAUGCUUACAGACCACUCGAAUCCCUGCUGGAAUACUCCCCGGUUUCUCCUUCUUUGGCGAACCAGAAGGCAGCGUUGCCGGAGAAAAUGACGGCGAUGGCACUGAUAAGUCCGCUGUGAAUUUCGGCUUCUCGCUUUGCCUUUUGGAAACUUUGAUGUACAGGGGCUUGAUUAGCUUCAAGUACUUUUGUAUCACUUCCUUAGGGAAUUUCUUCGACGAAUCAUCUGAGAUCUGCUUUCUCAAACUGUUAUCCCUUGUGAAUAUAGGAACAUUUGCAGCUUCUUUGAGCUUGAAUUUAACCGUGAAAAGCUUGCUUUUUGGCUUUUUGUUCUUUGGGGUAUCGACAAAAACGCCCUUCAACUCUGCUUCCCCCGUUUUCCCUGUUUCGUGCUCUGCCAUUGACUUUGAUUUCUUGAACAUAAGGACUCUAAAUCUUGGAGCUGAUUUGAGGAGGGAGAUGGGAGACUGAGGUUUCGAGAUGGGUUCAAUAGGGAGGAUCUUUCUUUUAGAGAGGAGAUCAGUAGGAGACAGAGAAACAGUUGGUGGUGGAAAUCUGUGCUCGAUAUUGCUGGCUUUGGUGGCCGAGUUGUGGAGAGUAUCUUCCUUGGAGUCAAAUGUGUUGCUAUCUUUGUCUAGUGGGAUGCCGUUUUUGUUUUUGCGUUUAUUGUUGUCAAAAUCAGGCACAGUAAGCUCCAAUUCAAAGAAGGAGUCUUCCUCUUCACUGAAAUCAUCAUCUGCGUCGACCACGGUUGUUUUAAUCUCGGUGGUAUCACUGUUUCCAUUAGAGGGUCGGUGGUCUUUAUUGAGGGUGGUGGGUCUCCAGAACUUGAGGAAGUAGAGGGCUUCCAUGGUGUGUGUGUGUGAGAGAGAGAG